rnacentral:rRNA from 1 species
CCUACGGGAGGCAGCAGUGGGGAAUAUUGCACNAUGGGCGCAAGCCUGAUGCAGCGACGCCGCGUGAGGGAUGACGGCCUUCGGGUUGUAAACCUCUUUCACCAGGGACGAAGCGCAAGUGACGGUACCUGGAGAAGAAGCACCGGCCAACUACGUGCCAGCAGCCGCGGUAAUACGUAGGGUGCGAGCGUUGUCCGGAAUUACUGGGCGUAAAGAGCUCGUAGGUGGUUUGUCGCGUUGUUCGUGAAAACCCACAGCUUAACUGUGGGCGUGCGGGCGAUACGGGCAGACUAGAGUACUGCAGGGGAGACUGGAAUUCCUGGUGUAGCGGUGGAAUGCGCAGAUAUCAGGAGGAACACCGGUGGCGAAGGCGGGUCUCUGGGCAGUAACUGACGCUGAGGAGCGAAAGCGUGGGGAGCGAACAGGAUUAGAUACCCUGGUAGUCCACGCCGUAAACGGUGGGUACUAGGUGUGGGUUCCUUCCUUGGGAUCCGUGCCGUAGCUAACGCAUNAAGUACCCCGCCUGGGGAGUACGGCCGCAAGGCUAAAACUCAAAUGAAUUGACGG